CCCAGAGACUCAUGAAGUGUCUCGGAGGUUGCCCUCUGCCCCCCAGCCCUGCUCCCAGCCUGCCUUCCCAGGCCUGGGCCUCUGGCAUCUGCUUUAUCAGGAUUCUUAAGAGGGAUAGCUGGUUUCUGUUCCAUGCCUGCUCCCUCCUCUCUUGCCUGCGUAUCUGCUCUGGUUUUAAAUAGCUUAUCUGAGCAGCUGGACAACCACAUGGGCUUAUAUGGCGUGGGCUGCAUGUCCCUUUAGCCCUGUCCCCGGCACCUGCCAAAAUAGCACCCAGCACCCCCCGCGCCCCCGCCGCGUCUCCGGCUGCACAUCCCUCCCACCGCAGGGCUUGGCUUAGGGGGCCUCAGCCCACAGGCCUGCUUAAAGCCCUCUCCAUCCCCUGCCCUCACCCAGUCCCCGCUGAGGCUGAGCAGAUACCUCGGGAUCUGUCGGCAGCUCCUGGUUUGAGGGAGAGCAGGGACCAUGUCGGACAUAGAAGAGGUGGCAGAAGAGUACGAGGAGGAACAGGAAGAAGAAGCUGUGGAAGGUACGGAGCUCGGGCAGAGGGAGGGCCAGAAAGGACAGAUCCCGGGAAUCCAGUAUCAUGUCACUGCCCCUCACUCCCAGCUGAGCCAAGAUCCAUGGCUCCUAAAUGCGAAUCAGUCCUAGCCUUGGUUGCUCAGGUCUUAGGCAAAAGGUUUAAACCUGUCUCGACUGUCCAUCAUUUUGUUCACACAGAAUCGCCACUUUUCCAAUUAAUUAUUUUUUUGAUUUUUUUCUCUAAUUUUUUUUCAACCAUGGUAAGUUUUAAAUGCAUGUACAAGUAGCAAAAAUAGAAUUACGCACCACCCUGCUUCCCCAAAUGCCCAGCAUCUGGCUUUAACAAUCAUCAACUAUGGCCAAUCUUUUUUCAUCUAUGCUUCAUCUCCCCUCACUUAUUUUAUUUAUUUAUUUUUAUUCUUAUGUUAAUCCC